AUUGAACGCUGGCGGCAGGCCUAACACAUGCAAGUCGAACGGUAACAGGAAGCAGCUUGCUGCUUCGCUGACGAGUGGCGGACGGGUGAGUAAUGUCUGGGAAGCUGCCUGAUGGAGGGGGAUAACUACUGGAAACGGUAGCUAAUACCGCAUAAUGUCGCAAGACCAAAGAGGGGGACCUUCGGGCCUCUUGCCAUCGGAUGUGCCCAGAUGGGAUUAGCUUGUUGGUGGGGUAACGGCUCACCAAGGCGACGAUCCCUAGCUGGCCUGAGAGGAUGACCAGCCACACUGGAACUGAGACACGGUCCAGACUCCUACGGGAGGCAGCAGUGGGGAAUAUUGCACAAUGGGCGCAAGCCUGAUGCAGCCAUGCCGCGUGUAUGAAGAAGGCCUUCGGGUUGUAAAGUACUUUCAGCGGGGAGGAAGGGAGUAAAGUUAAUACCUUUGCUCAUUGACGUUAACCGCAGAAGAAGCACCGGCUAACUCCGUG
rnacentral:rRNA from 1 species